GAUUGAAUUUUAUUGCAUAAUUAACCAAAGUAGUCAUGUUGUACAUAAUUCAAAAUAGUCAUUUAGCAUGUGAAACCAAACUGUUAGUUGUUUUGAAAAUUUGGAUAGGGUCCUUUGCCUUGUGCUUGUGUCAUGCUCUUUCUUGCUAUAAUUAUAUGCUGCUUUUUCUUGUCAGUAAAUUUCCAUAAUCUUCCUUUCUUUGAUUAGUCUAUUCUUCUUUUUGCAUCUUUUUUUCCUCUUUUAAUGGUUAAACAUAUGUUCUUCUUAUAGUUGGAUGGUGGAG
rnacentral:misc_RNA from 1 species